AUUGAACGCUGGCGGCAUGCCUUACACAUGCAAGUCGAACGGCAGCACGGGUGCUUGCACCUGGUGGCGAGUGGCGAACGGGUGAGUAAUACAUCGGAACAUGUCCUGUAGUGGGGGAUAGCCCGGCGAAAGCCGGAUUAAUACCGCAUACGAUCCACGGAUGAAAGCGGGGGACCUUCGGGCCUCGCGCUAUAGGGUUGGCCGAUGGCUGAUUAGCUAGUUGGUGGGGUAAAGGCCUACCAAGGCGACGAUCAGUAGCUGGUCUGAGAGGACGACCAGCCACACUGGGACUGAGACACGGCCCAGACUCCUACGGGAGGCAGCAGUGGGGAAUUUUGGACAAUGGGCGAAAGCCUGAUCCAGCAAUGCCGCGUGUGUGAAGAAGGCCUUCGGGUUGUAAAGCACUUUUGUCCGGAAAGAAAUCCUUGGCUCUAAUACAGUCGGGGGGUGACGGUACCGGAAGAAUAAGCACCGGCUAACUACGUG
rnacentral:rRNA from 1 species